GUUGGCCUCUCCCAACAGAAAGAAUUCCAUAUGCACAACGUUUACAGCACUGUGUCAGCAGUGUGCUCAGAGUGUGUUUCAGGGUGUUAACGUCUGUGAUGUAUAUGCUUGCCCUCAUUCAGAGAGUGUGGCUUCACUCCUAAUUAAGGAGUGCAGUAAUCAGCCGAGGGGUUUGGUGUGUGAAGCUGGAGAGCCAAAAUUACUUGUGAAUUCAGUUCAGAUUCAAUGAGUUAUUUUCAGCCACGCUCGAAAUGGUUAUGUUUCAUUUCUACAUUUUGAAACAAAGUACUUCCAUUUCAAAACAAAUCUAAUUUCCUUCUUAGAGUGUGAAAUGAUAAUUUUGUUUUGCUGUAGAGAGUAUUCUUAGGUUGAUCCAAGCCACUAGUAUUGUUGUGUUGGUGCUGUUGUUUGUUUUUUGUUUUUUUUUUUUAAUUUUUAUUAUUAUUCUUAUUGUUAUUUGGUUGUCAGCUUGAAAAAAUUAACUAUUUGCACAGUUGGUUCCAUGAGACAGAUGAGCAGCUCUGGGGCCAUACCUGAGAUGAGGGGCUCUGCCAAGAAGCUGGUGAGGCCGGAUGGAUUUAUCCAGUGCACUCUGCUGGGCUCUGGGUUCUUCGAUGGGACAGAGAAGAACGAAUGCCAAAGUUGAACGAGUUACAGCCGCUACUACCUAAUUAAAAUGAUUUUGUGCCAGUUGCUUUUGUUGGGUAGGAUCCACACAUAAUAUAAUUUUAAUCCUGUUUAUAUACACUCCGGGGACAGAUUUGAGAUCAGCAUUGCCAUUUAAGUGAGGUUAAUCAAGCAUACCGUAUGCAGCUUUUGUUUCUCGACGCUAUGUGAAAGGUGACCACAGCUGAUGGGCUCCUGACUGGCCGUUCGCUGCAAACCCCACCACUUCCUUGUUAACAGAGUGUCUGAUCAUUAACCCAACCCCAGCCCCGAUGACUUCUCCUGCCCGCUCCUUGGAAUUGCGCAGCUGUUGUUAUUCACAGAGGAGCUCGUAGUUAUGAACUGGGUCGUACUGGCAGCGGGUACGCGAUUGUGCCGAGGGUAGGAAACAAGUAAGAAAUAAUUACAUCUUCCCGAAAAACAAAUGCUAUUUUUUUUUGUAUUCGCGGCGCGUUUUAUGUAUGUAUAAAGGACAUUAUGGCAAAAUUAAAAAAGACCCUCAUAAAAAUCCUUCUUGAAAAGUAUUGUUGCUGACAGCCGUGACCUCUGUGAGUCUGCAUGUUUACCCAUAAUUCAUAAUUAACAAAGACAUUAGAACUGCCACUGGAGGAUUCUGGGCUUUAUUUCUUUCUAACUGGGCAGUACUAAUGCUGGAAGUGCUCCCAAUUCAGUGAUUUAACAUUUCAGGAAAUCUUGGAGAGGCAGCAGAAGCCUCCUUAUAUAGUUCAUACUCUGGGACUGUGGUUAUACAGAUAUGGCUGAGAUAAUUAUUCAGCUCUUGUUAUUGCUGUAGUUCUGCACCUGAUCCCUGAGCCAUUAGAGCACUCUGCAGGUUAUUACAACUAUCAAACAUCAAGGUCUCUUUUCUAGUCUCUCGACUAUGUGGUUAUCGUUCUGCUUCUUCUAAAUCCUCCAUCUGCAUAGAAAGCUUCUGUGCUCUGACUUAGAGAUCUGCUAACACUAAUUUUUUUUUUUUUAUG
ensembl:lncRNA